UACGUAGGGGGCAAGCGUUGUCCGGAAUUAUUGGGCGUAAAGGGCGCGUAGGCGGGAAAUUAAGUCAGGUGUGAAAACUCCGAGCUCAACUUGGAGAUUGCACUUGAAACUGGUAUUCUUGAGGGCAGGAGAGGAAAGUGGAAUUCCUAGUGUAGCGGUGAAAUGCGUAGAUAUUAGGAGGAACACCAGUGGCGAAGGCGACUUUCUGGCCAGUUACUGACGCUCAUGCGCGAGAGCUGGGUUAGCGAACCGGAUUAGAUACCCCCGUAGUCCCUGA
rnacentral:rRNA from 1 species